GCUUACGGCCACACCGCCUGGUUCACGCCUGAUCUCGUUUGAUCUCGGAAGCUAAGGUAGGUUGGGCCUGGUUAGUACUUAGAUGGGAGACCGCCUGGGAAUACCAGGUGCUGUAAGCU
rnacentral:rRNA from 1 species